GCGCUCGCCUCGGCAGCGCGCACGGGGGAACUGGGGUGACACAGAGAAGAUCAGGGUGGGCCCCGUGCGAGGACGACACGCAAAUUCGGGAGGCGUUCUGUAGUUUU